rnacentral:rRNA from 1 species
UAGAGUUUGAUCCUGGCUCAGAACGAACGUUGGCGGCAUGGAUUAGGCAUGCAAGUCGAACGAAUCCCGGGGUAGCAAUACCUCGGGGGAAGUGGCGAAAGGGGCAGUAAUACAUGGAUAACCUACCCUGGGGUUGGGCAUAGCCGUUCUAACGAGCGGGUAAUUCCCAGCGAUUCGGCGGCGGUGGCAUCAUCGCACCGGGAAAGAACUUCGCCUCGGGAGGGGUCCAUGAGCUAUCAGCUAGUUGGUGGGGUAACGGCCUACCAAGGCGUAGACGGCUAGCGGGUGUGAGAGCACGACCCGCGCCACUGGCACUGAGACACUGGCCAGACACCUACGGGUGGCUGCAGUCGAGGAUCUUCGUCAAUGGGCGCAAGCCUGAACGAGCGAUGCCGCGUGAGCGAUGAAGGCCUUCGGGUUGUAAAGCUCAAAAGAGGUGAGAAAGGGAAACUUGAUCAAACCUCAGUAAGCUCGGGCUAAGUUCGUGCCAGCAGCCGCGGUAAGACGAACCGAGCGAACGUUGUUCGGAAUCACUGGGCUUAAAGGGCGCGUAGGCGGAUUCUCAAGUCCGGGGUGAAAUCCCACAGCUCAACUGUGGAACUGCCUCGGAUACUGGGGGUCUCGAGGGUGGUAGGGGUAUGCGGAACUAUCGGUGGAGCGGUGAAAUGCGUUGAUAUCGAUAGGAACUCCGGUGGCGAAGGCGGCAUACUGGACCACAUCUGACGCUGAGGCGCGAAAGCCAGGGGAGCAAACGGGAUUAGAUACCCCGGUAGUCCUGGCCCUAAACGAUGGGUACUAGCUAGUAGGGUUCACAUGGCUUUACUGGCGAAGCAAAAGUGCUAAGUACCCCGCCUGGGGAGUAUGGUCGCAAGGCUGAAACUCAAAGGAAUUGACGGGGGCUCACACAAGCGGUGGAGCAUGUGGCUUAAUUCGAGGCUACGCGAAGAACCUUAUCCUAGACUUGACAUGUGCGAUAGCGGUGGGCGGUAACUCCCGGAAACGGGGUGUGAUUCCUCGCAAGAGGAGGACCCACUACAGGUGCUGCAUGGCUGUCGUCAGCUCGUGUCAUGAGAUGUCGGGUUAAGUCCCAUAACGAGCGAAACCCUUACCUUUAGUUACUACGGGUCAUGCCGAGGACUCUAAAGGGACUGCCGGUGUCAAACCGGAGGAAGGCGGGGAUGACGUCAAGUCCUCAUGGCCUUUACGUCUAGGGCUGCACACGUGCUACAAUGGCGUGAACAAAGGGAAGCCAAGGCGCGAGCCGGAGCAAAUCCCAAAAAACACGCCCCAGUUCAGAUCGUGGGCUGCAACUCGCCCACGUGAAGUUGGAAUCGCUAGUAAUCGCGGGUCAGCAACACCGCGGUGAAUGUGUUCCUGAGCCUUGUACACACCGCCCGUCAAGCCACGAAAGAGAGGGACGUCCGAAGUCGCCUUCAUUGGCGCCGAAGACGGACUUCUUGAUGGGACUAAGUCGAACAAGGAACCAAGGGAAUUGGCGAUACA